rnacentral:rRNA from 1 species
GAGCAGGGACGAAAGUCGGGCUUAGUGAUCCGGUGGUUCCGCAUGGAAGGGCCAUCGCUCAACGGAUAAAAGCUACCCCGGGGAUAACAGGCUGAUCUCCCCCAAGAGUCCACAUCGACGGGGAGGUUUGGCACCUCGAUGUCGGCUCAUCGCAUCCUGGGGCUGUAGUCGGUCCCAAGGGUUGGGCUGUUCGCCCAUUAAAGCGGUACGCGAGCUGGGUUCAGAACGUCGUGAGACAGUUCGGUCCCUAUCCGUCGCGGGCGCAGGAAAUUUGAGAGGAGCUGUCCUUAGUACGAGAGGACCGGGAUGGACGCACCGCUGGUGUACCAGUUGUCCCGCCAGGGGCACCGCUGGGUAGCUAUGUGCGGAAGGGAUAAGCGCUGAAAGCAUCUAAGCGUGAAGCCCCCCUCAAGAUGAGAUUUCCCAUCGCGUGAAGCGAGUAAGAUCCCUCGAAGAUGACGAGGUCGAUAGGUCCGAGGUGGAAGCGUGGCGACACGUGGAGCUGACGGAUACUAAUCGAUCGAGGGCUUAACCUAG